rnacentral:rRNA from 1 species
GACGAACGCUGGCGGCGUGCUUAACACAUGCAAGUCGAACGAAGUGGCGAACGGGUGAGUAAUUCGUGGGUAACCUGCUCUACUUUUUGGGAUAAGCCUUGGAAACGGGGUCUACUACCGAAUAAAGGGGGCUGGGUUCGCGGCCUAUCAGCUUGUUGGUGGGGUGAUGGCCUACCAAGGCGGUGACGGGUAGCCGGCCUGAGAGGGUGACCGGCAAUGGUUGGACGGCGAUACGGCCCAGGCUCCUACGGGAGGGGGCAGUGUGGGAAAUUGCACAAUGGGCGAAGGGCUAAGGCAGCGACGCCGCGUGGGGGAUGAAGGCUUUAAGGUUGUUAACCUCGGUCGCAAUGGAACCGGUACGUGGAGAAGAAGCGCCGGCUAACUACGUGCCAGCAGCCGCGGUAAUUC